CACAAACGCUACCCCAGUUACAAGCAUGGGUGGUUGACUUCAUGCAGACAUGCGCAGACAUCGAAGUACCGCGAGAGUGAUUCAAAAGCCCACGAAACAGUGUAAUCACGCGGUACUGUGAUGUCAUACUGGUUAACGCUAAGCCACGUGAAGCCGGACACAAGGGCUGCACUAAUCUUUGGGCUGGAGUAGCCUGUGGUUUUUAAGGCUUCCGUGUCUCAUCGCGUUAAACGAUCGCAGAACGAUUUAUUUCUCUUUUUCACCUCGAUCUUUGGCCUCUUGUGAUUUAACAAAACCAACAUGUGAAGUUACAACGCUGACGAAGGAGUUUCAUCAGUAGAGUGUGUCCUGGUAAACGUGUGCUCGGAAACAUGCAGAUUACAGUAUUUACAGAGCCGACCUUGAGGCUAUUUUUUGCAUGACAUCCACUGAUGGAUAAUCUGUUUACCUAAAAACAGGCCACCACAAUCCAUGUUUACCAGCUGUGAAAGUGCAGGCCAAAAAUCUUCCUUCACAUGUAGAUAAGCACUUCAGGAGAAACCUGCCUGUGAUCUGCUAAGAUGCACAGAUUCAACUCUGGCCCAUUGUCAUCCCAACACCUUAUCUGCCAUCAGUUUCGUUUAGUGUCGGUCUAUUGCAAAAGUUCUUAUAAACUUCAAAUGAGACUUUGUGUUAAGCAGGGGUUUCCAAACUUUUCAUUUCACAACAUAUUAAGCCCAGGAUACACAGCAGGAUUUUUGCAAUCCAAUAAGGCCUUAUCACACUGUGUGACAAGAAUUGUUUAAACUUCAGCAGUAGACUGUCGAUGAAGACACCUAUUGCAUCUGAGGCUGCAACAUCCGUCAUCAGCAUGCGCUAGUGGUAAACAAAUACAGGAAUGCAGGUCGUAGAAGCAAACAUGUUGUUGAUGUGCGUUGAUCAUGCUGAACUUCUUACACUGUCAUAAAACUAUCGUAGGUGUCUUUGGUCCCAGGACUGGGAAAACAGACGUCUUUAAACCUCUCACACUGUAUGAGAUAGGACCACCAAUUAAGAGCCAUGAUCACAGAAAUCUCCACGAUUGUUUCACGAUUGGUAAUCUUUCAUCUGGGACAGCCAAAAAUCGUGCCGUGUAUUAUGGGCUUUAGACAGGUGUUAUCUUAUAGUAUAUCAAAACCAUUGCUAAUAAUUAAUUGGACAAACCAUCACUAUAAUGCAACACACGCUAUCUUACGAUGUGACCCACAAGUGGGUCUUCACCCACAGUUUAAAAACCCUGAGUAUGAGUAAGAGUAUGUUGUAUUGUAAUUAAAGUCACAUCCAAGUGUUAUGGAGCAGUUUGUCAUUAUAUUCACAGUAUUACAUGGUUCUUUCAGCAGUUACUACGUUAAAGUGCUCUUAAAGUGUCCUGGUCAGCUUUGGGUCUUGUGAAGUAAUGUAAUGAGAAUGUGAUCGAUAGCUUUGCAGUAUUUUUUGUUAAACAUUUUAUUCAAAUUUGGUAAACAAACUAGUCAAUAUAAUUCAUGCUGUGAUGCUGAAUUAAACCUGGUCAAAUGAA